AUGCCACUUUAUGAUUUUUGUGGGGUUUGUUUGAUCCCUUUCAAGGGCUUGAUAGAGGAACCACAUCGCGAUGAUGUGGAUGGGUUUAUUGAUACCAUCACUGUAGGUGAAAUGAGGAAGGUUUCCGAUGCACGAAUAACUAGCAUACAUUUUCCUGUUUUACGCUACUUUGCAAUAUUUGCUACUCGUUGCUUAAUUGGUUGCGGAAACUGUGGAAACCUUAGUGUUCCUGAAAUUAUUAUUUUGUUCCAUGGUUUAUUCUGUGGUAACUCUAUUAGUAUGGGUGGUAUUAUUGCUAAACGGUUAAGUCUGAACCAUACAAAGGGCCCCAUCUUUGGAGGCAUCUAUGCUUCAUGCCUAGCUGCACAUUUUAACAUACCUAUUAGGCAUUAUGAGAAGGAAGAAAAAUUGUUGUCUCCUGUUUAUUUAGAUUAUAAGAGUAUGGUGGCACAUGACUUUAUUGUUAAGAAUAGGGAAGGGGAGCUUAAAUACAAAUUGUUCUUUCAUAAACAUCAUCCUUAG
rnacentral:rRNA from 1 species